UAGGUCCCGAGCGUUGUCCGGAUUUAUUGGGCGUAAAGCGAGCGCAGGCGGUUAGAUAAGUCUGAAGUUAAAGGCUGUGGCUUAACCAUAGUAGGCUUUGGAAACUGUUUAACUUGAGUGCAAGAGGGGAGAGUGGAAUUCCAUGUGUAGCGGUGAAAUGCGUAGAUAUAUGGAGGAACACCGGUGGCGAAAGCGGCUCUCUGGCUUGUAACUGACGCUGAGGCUCGAAAGCGUGGGGAGCAA
rnacentral:rRNA from 1 species